GAAGAUACAAGCUCACCACCGCCGCUGAAUCACCGCCAAAGGUGAGCUUUCUUACUAGAUCUUCUUUUGAAACCAUGGUUUUCGCGUUUAGAGCUAGAUUGGGAGUAGUGUAUCGUGAGGUUAGUGUGAGCGAUUGAGAGUGACGAGUGUUUGAGGAUUAGAUUCAGAGUAGGGAAAACGAGGUUGAGAGGCGCGAGUUUGAG
rnacentral:lncRNA from 1 species